AGUAUUGUAUUAUAUUCAAAGUGGAGAGAUUUCCCCUUCUGCUUACCUAUUAAUAUUAAGGGUUGGGAUGGGAUUUUACUCAAAUAGUUUUACGAUUGGCUUUUUCAUAGAUAGCAAGGAAAAGAAGUAUGUUGAAAAGGUCAGUCACCCCGGAUAUGCAUUACUUUGGUAGUAAAGGAAUAUGCGUGAGAGGACUAUUUCAAAGAAAGACCGGCCUAUGGUAAUUCUUGGCAAGGAC
rnacentral:lncRNA from 1 species